AACGAACGCUGGCGGCAUGCCUAACACAUGCAAGUCGAACGAGAUCUUCGGGUCUAGUGGCGCACGGGUGCGUAACGCGUGGGAAUCUGCCCUUUGGUUCGGAAUAACAGUUGGGAACGACUGCUAAUACCGGAUGAUGACGAAAGUCCAAAGAUUUAUCGCCAGAGGAUGAGCCCGCGUAGGAUUAGCUAGUUGGUGUGGUAAAGGCGCACCAAGGCGACGAUCCUUAGCUGGUCUGGGAGGAUGAUCAGCAAGACUGGGACUAAGACACGGACCAGACUCCUACGGGAGACAGCAGUGGGGAGUAUUGGACAAGGGGCGAAAGCCUGAUCCAGCAAUGCCGCGUGAGUGAUGAAGGCCGUAGGGUUGUAAAGCUCUUUUACCCGGGAUGAUAAUGACAGUACCGGGAGAAUAAGCUCCGGCUAACUCCGUGCCAGCCGCCGCGGUAA
rnacentral:rRNA from 1 species